rnacentral:rRNA from 1 species
AAUCGGACUCAACGCCGGGAAACUCACCAGAUAAGACAGCUGAAUGAUAGUCGGGCUGAAGACUCUACUUGACUAGCUGAGAGGAGGUGCAUGGCCGUCGUCAGUUCGUACUGUGAAGCAUCCUGUUAAGUCAGGCAACGAGCGAGACCCACGCCAACAGUUGCCAGCUCGUCCUCCGGGAUGGAGGGGACACUGUUGGGGCCGCCUCUGCUAAAGAGGAGGAAGGAAUGGGCAACGGUAGGUCAGCAUGCCCCGAAUUAUCUGGGCUACACGCGGGCUACAAUGGGUGGGACAAUGGGUAUCGACACCGAAAGGUGAAGGCAAUCUCCUAAACCCAUCCUUAGUUCGGAUUGUGGGCUGCAACUCGCCCACAUGAAGCUGGAAUCUGUAGUAAUCGUGUUUCAAAAUAGCACGGUGAAUAUGUCCCUGCUCCUU